AGGAAGGAGGGUUGACGCAGCAGACAGUGCCUUAUGAAAGAGUUACGGGCUCCGCUGCUUCUCAUCACAUCUCCAAUGAGCUGAGAGUCACCAUAACACCUCUUGACCUGUGCUGGGAUCUCAGAGCGUUGAUCCAGGUCCAGACGCACCACCCCCUCCGUCCCCCAGCUGGACAACGCUGGAACAGAGACCAGAGAGCCAAAGAGACGAAUAGCAAAAGUGAGAAGCUGAGACAGAACAGACGGGACUGCCUGUAGUUCACAGACCGACUGUCCAUCAUCUCCCAGAGAGCCGGCACUCUGCACAUCAAGGUAGAAGACAUGAAGAUUUCUCACUUCAUAAAAAGGCUUUAGAGGAGCAAUAAGUCACACAGAGCCAACUUCUCUGUGAAUAUAUAUCGCUCCUCUCUGAACCUUCACACACUGUGUCCAACAGGCCUCCAUACGUCUGCUCUUCUUCUUCUCAUCCCUUAUCCUCAAGGAACUUGAGACAAAAGAAGCGAGUGCACUGUCUAUUAAGUUUAAACACGAUGACAUGAACUUUCUCCUCUCUAAGAACAGAUCACCAUUUUUUAUGUAUUUCAUGUAAGUGUUAGCUCUCUUUCAUCUGUUACUGCAAAAAGUUGUAGAGUCAUAGCCAAGCAGGGCUGCAAACUAUGAAAUGAAUCUGUCUGUUAGUUACUGUUUAAUCUGCCAAUGAUUGAUUUUCAUGUCAGGAAAUAGUCAAACAGCCUUCGCAGUUUCCCAGAAAACGAGGUUGCAUCCUCAAAUUGCUCGUUUCAUCUGAUUAGCAGCCCAAAAACAAAUAUAUAUAUAUUCAAUUUACAAUGAU